rnacentral:rRNA from 1 species
AACGUAGGACACAAGCGUUAUCCGGAAUUACUGGGCGUAAAGGGAGUGCAGGCGGUUGCGUAAGUUAGGCGUGAAAGACUUCGGCUAAACCUGGGAACUGCGUCUGAUACUGGAAGGCUUGAGUGCGGGAGAGGGAUGUGGAAUUCCAGGUGUAGCGGUGAAAUGCGUAGAUAUCUGGAGGAACACCGGUGGCGAAGGCGGCAUCCUGGACCGACACUGACGCUGAGGCGCGAAAGCUAGGGUAGCAAACGGG